AGUGAACGCUGGCGGUAGGCCUAACACAUGCAAGUCGAACGGCAGCACAGUAAGAGCUUGCUCUUACGGGUGGCGAGUGGCGGACGGGUGAGGAAUACAUCGGAUUCUACUUUUUCGUGGGGGAUUACGUAGGGAAACUUACGCUAAUACCGCAUACGACCUACGGGUGAAAGCAGGGGAUCUUCGCACCUUGCGCGUUUGAUUGAGCCGAUGUCGGAUUAGCUAGUUGGCGGGGUAAAGGCCCACCAAGGCGACGAUCCGUAGCUGGUCUGAGAGGAUGAUCAGCCACACUGGAACUGAGACACGGUCCAGACUCCUACGGGAGGCAGCAGUAGGGAAUAUUGGACAAUGGGCGCAAGCCUGAUCCAGCCAUACCGCGUGGGUGAAGAAGGCCUUCGGGUUGUAAAGCCCUUUUAUUGGGAAAGAAAAGCAGCAGGUUAAUACCCCGCUGUUCUGACGGUACCCAAUGAAUAAGCACCGGCUAACUUCGUG
rnacentral:rRNA from 1 species